UGCGCCCGCGGGUGGCUGGCGACGCGCGGGGCCGCGGGGUCUGGCCGGUAGCCUCCCGAAGUGCAGGGGGCGGCGCUGGCCGUGAACCGGGCUGGGAACCUAGGACCUGGGAUUCCAACUCCGUCGCGGAACCUCGGUGUCCUCGCCUGUGCAGUGGGGACCCUGCCGCGAUAACGGACGUGAAGCGCUGAGACCCUCCGGGAUCCGCAGAGCCCUGGACCUUCCCAUUCCGGAGGAGGCAGGGCUCUGUCCAGCUCUGAAGACCUCAACUUUUUAGGAGCAGGUAGGCCCUGGUGUCUGUUACUCCCCAUAUGUUGAAGUCCUAAUCCCCAAGGUGAUAACCUUAGGAGGU